CAUUACAGAGUUCGUGCCCUUCGGGGUAGACCUCCCACCCUUUGUAUACAUACUAUUGUUGCUUCGGCGGCUCGCCGCAAGGCCCUCGGCUUCGGCUGGGGCGUGGCCGCCGGAGGACCCCAAACCCUGAAUUACAGUGUCGUCCGAGUACUAUAUAAUAGUUAAAACUUUCAACAACGGAUCUCUUGGUUCUGGCAUCGAUGAAGAACGCAGCGAAAUGCGAUAAGUAAUGUGAAUUGCAGAAUUCAGUGAAUCAUCGAAUCUUUGAACGCACAUUGCGCCCCUUGGUAUUCCGGGGGGCAUGCCUCUUCCAGCGUCAUUUCACCCCUCAAGCUCUGCUUGGUCUUGGGCCAUACCGCGCAAGCGGCCGGCCUCGAAAACAGUGGCGGCGCCAUCUGGGCUCUCAGCGUAGUAAUUCUUCUCGCUGUUGGGCUCCGGUGGUCGCCCGCCAGCAACCCCUAACUUUUACAGUUUGACCUGGGAUGAGGUAGGGAUACCC
rnacentral:rRNA from 1 species